rnacentral:rRNA from 1 species
AGAGUUUGAUCCUGGCUCAGAACGAACGCUGGCGGCGUGCUUAACACAUGCAAGUCGAACGCGAAAGGGACUUCGGUCCCGAGUAGAGUGGCGCACGGGUGAGUAACGCGUAAGUAAUCUACCCCUGUAUCUGGAAUAACCCACCGAAAGGUGAGCUAAUACCGGAUACGUUUAUCUUGAUGCGAAUGAUGAUAAAGAAAGGUGGCCUCUUCAUGAAAGCUACCGUACAGGGACGAGCUUGCGUACCAUUAGCUGGUUGGUAGGGUAAUGGCCUACCAAGGCGACGAUGGUUAGCGGGUCUGAGAGGAUGAUCCGCCACACUGGAACUGAAACACGGACCAGACUCCUACGGGAGGCAGCAGUGAGGAAUAUUGCGCAAUGGGGGCAACCCUGACGCAGCGACGCCGCGUGGACGAUGAAGGCCCUUGGGUCGUAAAAUCCUGUCAGAUGGAAAGAAAUGUACAGGUGUUAAUAUCGCCUGUAUUUGACGGUACCAUCAAAGGAAGCACCGGCUGACUCCGUGCCAGCAGCCGCGGUAAUACGGAGGGUGCGAGCGUUGUUCGGAAUUACUGGGCGUAAAGCGCGCGUAGGCGGUUUGCUAAGUCAGAUGUGAAAGCCCUCGGCUUAACCGGGGACGUGCAUUUGAAACUGGCAGACUUGAGUACUGGAGGGGGUG